CAGACUUUACCGCCGGGUAAAGUUUCACACCAGCGUUCAGAUUUCAUACCAUUAGGCCAUUGAAGGUAUGAUAUUCUGGACUUUUUUUAUA
rnacentral:ncRNA from 1 species